rnacentral:rRNA from 1 species
UACGAAGGGGGCUAGCGUUGUUCGGAAUUACUGGGCGUAAAGCGCGCGCAGGCGGUCUUCCAAGUCAGUGGUGAAAGCCUGGAGCUCAACUCCAGAACUGCCAUUGAAACUGUUAGACUUGAGUACGAGAGAGGUGAGUGGAAUUCCCAGUGUAGAGGUGAAAUUCGUAGAUAUCUGGAAGAACACCAAUGGCGAAGGCAAUGUUCUGGCUCGUUUCUGACGCUCAGGUGCGAAAGCCAGGGGAGCGAACGGG